CACCAAUAUUUACUCCAGAAAAACCACCGAGUCUAUUUUACUAAACGAUCAUCCCGUCUAAAAUCACAAAGCAGUGCCGUACUUUUUCAGAAGUUCAAGACCCUAAUAUUUUCUCCCAAAACCUUAAUUCCACCCUCGCUCUCUCCUGCCUCUCUAUCUUCUUUCGACACAAUUUUCAAUUACUCUUUUUACUACUCCCUGAGUGAUACGAUUAUAUACUUUCUUAAUGUGUUAUGAAUCCGGUGAUAAUCAAGGGAUGCUAUACUUUCACCCGGGAAUCGUGUUUGUUCCUAUCUAAAAAUCAUAGGCUAUAUAUUCCUUUGCUGGAGCAGGAUAUGGUUCUCCCUAUCAAUGAAAAGCAACUACAUAAAUCCAUAUCUGUUGGUGCAUAGUAAAUAAUAAGUUGUUCAAAAGGAGAUUCCUCAGAUCAAUCAGGUAAAAUUAAGUCAAACCUCAAUUUGAUUUAAGGGAUUUUAUGAUGGUGUUUGUACUUUAAGAGAGUGUAGUGGAAGUAUGAAUGUUGAAUAGAAUUUUGGUUAGACAUAAUUAGGGUUUUUCCGGGUUUUUUAUACCUUGAUUAUGUUUAAUGGAGUUCCUGAACAAGAAGCUGGAGUUGAGGCCAACUUGAAGAUUAUUAAUUUAGUACUUUUAUGACAAUCA